CAUUGGUGUUGAUUCAAACAAGUGGUAUCAGGGCUAUGUUAAACUAGGAUGCAUCUUGAUCUGGUUGCUUCAAGUCUGACCUAGCUCUGAUACCAUGUGUUACUGACUUCACCAUGG
rnacentral:pre_miRNA from 1 species